rnacentral:rRNA from 1 species
AUGUCUGAAGUUUUCAAUAGUUGGAUCUUGGACGCUAGAGAACUACCCAUUAAGUUAAUGUUGGAUAGAAUGAAUGACAAGAUCACAACAAGGAUGUACAACAAGCAAAAGGAGGUGGCCACUGAUAGGAAAUGGACUAGAAGAUUGUGCCCAAAAAUUCAGAAGAAACUUGACAAGUUUACUGAAUGGGCUGCUCACUGCAUGGUUCAAGGGGCAGGUCAAAAGGUUUUCAAGAUGUUGUCAAUGAACCAUUCUUAUAUAGUUGAUUUGAACAAUGAGAGUUGUGAUUGCAAAAGA